GGGCAGCAGUGAGGAAUUUUGCGCAAUGGGGGAAACCCUGACGCAGCAACGCCGCGUGAGUGAAGAAGGCCUUCGGGUCGUAAAGCUCUGUCAAGUGGGAAGAAAUUCUUGAAGGCCAAUACCCUUUGAGAUUGACGGUACCACUGAAGGAAGCACCGGCUAACUCCGUGCCAGCAGCCGCGGUAAUACGGAGGGUGCAAGCGUUAUUCGGAUUCAUUGGGUGUAAAGCGCGUGUAGGCGGCUUGGUAAGUCAGAUGUGAAAGCUCCGGGCUUAACCCGGAAAGGGCAUUUGAAACUACCAGGCUUGAGUCCCGGAGAGGAAGGUGGAAUUCCCAGUGUAGAGGUGAAAUUCGUAGAUAUUGGGAGGAACACCGGUGGCGAAGGCGACCUUCUGGACGGUGACUGACGCUGAGACGCGAAAGCGUGGGUAGCAAACAGGAUUAGAUACCCCGGUAGUC
rnacentral:rRNA from 1 species